rnacentral:tRNA from 1 species
AGGAUAAUAGUUAAAAAAUAACGUUUAAGUUGCAUUUAAAAUUUAUUGUCUAUCAACAAUUUAUCUUU